AUUGAUGGGAAUCUGGGAGCUCAUAACUGCAAUAGUAGAGUAUUGAUCAUUAGUUUUGAGUAAAAAAUGAGACGACUCAAUACUCAAUAAUUGACGGUAUUGAGAGGUUUUGUGUAUGUGCAAUACAAACUGGUAAACAUCUAACAAGAGAUUAGGAACUUACACUUGGUGUUCUGUCCGUAAGCGGCCGACAUUUUUCAGCUUGGCAGUAGGAAUUGAAGCUGCCUCUGGAUUCAAGGCCACCAGAGCUUUGGAUACGUCGCCUUCUUUAUUAUGCUCUUGUAAAAUAGUCUCCAAAUUGGUGGUGAACUCUUUCAUGUUGAGUUCGAUCAAUGGAAUUUCAUCA